rfam:Globodera pallida, Lindley, WGS project CBXT01000000 data, contig: pathogens_Gpal_scaffold_159_contig_13
CAAACGGCCCUCUUUAGGGCCACAAUUGCCAAAUGGACGGAAGUGG